rnacentral:rRNA from 1 species
CCAAAAACAUAGCCCUAGUAUAUAUCUAAGGUGUAACCUGCCCAGUGGUUUCAAAGCAACAAUAAUUAAAAGCUAUUUAAUAAAACUAAAAGGACGCGGUAACCUUGACCGUGAUAAUGUAGCGUAAUCAUUCGCCACCUAAUUAGUGGAUAGUAUGAAUGGUUGAACGAAUAUUCCUCUGUCUUAAGAAGAAACACCAAAAAAUUAAAAUAAUAGUUAAGAUGCUAUUUUAAAUUGUAAGACGAAAAGACCCUAUAGAGCUUAACUAUAAUCUUUCAUAAAACCAAAAAACAUUCAUUUUUAAAUGGAAAGAUUGGUAGUUUAGUUGGGGCGACUAUCUUCUAAAAACAACGAAGAAAAGCAAAGUUAAUAUAAAACUUACUGUAUAAUAAAUCCAUUUAACAGUUAUAAAAAUAGGCUAUAAUGACCCGUUAAUAUUACAUAAAAAAAUUAACGAUCAAUAAAUAAAAGCUACCUUAGGGAUAACAGGAUAAUUUCAUUUUAGAGUUCUCAUCGAAAAUGAAGUUUGUCACCUCUAUGUUGAAUUAAGAUAUCCAAACAACGCAGAAGUUGUUAAUGGUAGGUC